rnacentral:lncRNA from 1 species
AAUUCUAAAUCCAAACUUAUUCCUUUUUGAUUUGAUCCAAACCACCUUCCAUGUAAGAAAGAAGAGAGAAAACCUUUUAUGAACGUGGGAGAGACCUGGGAGAGGGCUUUUGUCAUACAAAAUAAGUGGAGAUUGGCGUUGAAUAAGAGAGAGGGCGUGGGGAAGGCUUAUGUGGCGCAAGGUGGAAUCCUAGUCUUACUAGGAUUCUAUCUCAUGACUUG